AUUGAACGCUGGCGGCAGGCCUAACACAUGCAAGUCGAGCGGUAGAGAGGUGCUUGCAUCUCUUGAGAGCGGCGGACGGGUGAGUAAUGCCUGGGAAAUUGCCCCAGUCGAGGGGGGAUAACAGUUGGAAACGACUGCUAAUACCGCAUACGCCCUACGGGGAAAGCAGGGACCUUCGGGCCUUGCGCGAUUGGAUAUGCCCAGGUGGGAUUAGCUUGUUGGUGAGGUAAUGGCUCACCAAGGCGACCGAUCCCUAGCUGGUCUGAGAGGAUGAUCAGCCACACUGGAACUGAGACACGGUCCAGACUCCCUACGGGAGGCAGCAGUGGGGAAUAUUAGCACAAUGGGGGAAACCCUGAUGCAGCCAUGCCGCGUGUGUGAAGAAGGCCUGGUGUAAG
rnacentral:rRNA from 1 species